rnacentral:rRNA from 1 species
GGAAAGUUGAAAAGAACUUUGAAGAGAGAGUUCAAGAGUACGUGAAACCGUUUAGAGGUAAACGGAUGGGACCGCGAGGUUCCCCGUGGGAUUCAACCUUCCGCUCGCGUCGUCGGGGCGUGCGUCCAGAUCCUCACGGACUGGCGUCGUUUCGAGCGGCCGUCGGUGGGCGCACUUUCCACGGGACCGUGGCCAGGACAGGUUCGCGGGGAGGCCAGAAGCCCGCCGGUUCCAGGUAGCUGUCUUCGGGCAGUGCUUAGGUGCCGCGGGUGGGCAGCUCCCCCGUACCGAGGAACGGACCGCCGCUCGGGAAACACCUCCGUCACGUGUCCGGUMAUACUGUCGUGGACUGCUUCGCAGUGCACGGCGACCGCCGGGCGCGGCGUGCGGGGGCCCACUUCCCGUCAGCUCAGGGUCUCUGGUCGUUUUCGUCGGCACCCCAUCCGACCCGUCUUGAAACACGGACCAAGGAGUCUAACAUGUGUGCGAGUCACCGGGUGGCAAACCCACGGGCGCAAUGAAAGUGAAGGUCGGCUCAGGUCGGCCCAGGUGGGAUCCCGGCCAAACACGGUCGGGCGCACCACCGGCCCGUCUCGAUCUCUAUGCCAGAUGGGGCGGCGCAGGAGCAUACACGUUGGGACCCG